rnacentral:ncRNA from 1 species
UUCAAAUUUGGUACAGUUAAUUUUUCUAUAUUAAAUUACUAUUAUGAUAUAAUUUUCAUCGUGAAGCGUUGACAAUUAUACCUUUUUGUCGUUUGAACUUCAGUUUACGUUAUAUGAGAGCGAAUUCAAAAAUUACUCCAGCCGGUACAAAGUUUUCAUAACAAUUUAGAAUGCCAAAAUAUUACUCCUUAGCCACUUUUUUAGCGAAAUUUUGAAAAUUACGUUUUUUUCCGCCCUAGUUCUAACCAUAAACGAUGCUAACUAGCAAUUGAGUGUACGUACUAUUAUAGCUCUCUUAAUCGGUUCUCGAGAAACCAAAAGUUUUGGGCUCCGGUGCAAAUAUGGUAGAGUGUAGUAGAGUGGAGUCUGCGGCUUAAUUUGAUUCAACGGGAAAUCUUACCAGGUCCGAACAUAAACAUGUAAGAUAAGUUGAUAGCUCUAUCUCGAAUUUGUGGGUGGUGGUGCAUGGGCUUUCUUAGUUCGUGGAUUGAUUUGUUUGGUUAAUACCGAUAACGAAAAAGACUCAAAUAUUUUAAAUAGAUGAUUUUGGGAUUAUGGUGGUGAAGCUCUUAUGGCCUUCAUUUACGAGCACAGCAAAAUGUGUGAGUGGUUAAAUGUGUCCAUAAAAGUGGAUAAAUGUGUUCAUGAAAGUAUCAACGUGUAUUUCCUAGACCAAGAGGUCCGGGUAAACCACCGAACCACUUUCAUGCUUGGGAUUGUGAACUGAAACUGUUCACAUGAACUUGGAAUUCCCAGUAGGUGUAAGUCAUUAACUCGCAUUGAUUACGUCCCUGCUCUUUAUGCACACCGCCCGUCGCUACUACCGAAUGAAUUAUUUAGUGAGGUCUCCGGACGUGAUCACGCAUGUUAUGUGUUGCGGAUGCUUCGCAAAGAUUGGCCGAACUUGAUUAUUCAGAGGAAGUAACAAGGUUUCCGUAGGUGAACCGGCGGAAGGAUCAUUA